CCUACGGGAGACAGCAGUGAGGAAUAUUGGUCAAUGGGCGUAAGCCUGAACCAGCCAAGUCGCGUGAGGGAUGAAGGUUCUAUGGAUCGUAAACCUCUUUUAUAAGGGAAUAAAGUGCGGGACGUGUCCCGUUUUGUAUGUACCUUAUGAAUAAGGAUCGGCUAACUCCGUGCCAGCAGCCGCGGUAAUACGGAGGAUCCGAGCGUUAUCCGGAUUUAUUGGGUUUAAAGGGUGCGUAGGCGGCCUUUUAAGUCAGCGGUGAAAGUCUGUGGCUCAACCAUAGAAUUGCCGUUGAAACUGGGAGGCUUGAGUACGGUUGAGGCAGGCGGAAUGCGUGGUGUAGCGGUGAAAUGCUUAGAUAUCACGAAGAACCCCGAUUGCGAAGGCAGCUUACCAAGCCACGACUGACGCUGAUGCACGAAAGCGUGGGUAUCAAACAGUAUUAGAUACCCGAGUAGUC
rnacentral:rRNA from 1 species